rnacentral:lncRNA from 1 species
ACAGCGAAAGCAAAUCAGGACUGAAAACACUGCCCAGUGCCUUCGAAGCUGUCACAUGUGCCUGAGAAGAGGGGCAAGGAAGAGGUGAAAGCCAUCCAUCAGGAGCCCUUCGUGUUGCCCCUGUGUCUCACUGGGAGCGUGGGGACCUGAAGCAAGGGGCUGUGAGGCUCUGGCCACUGCUUUUGCUAUCAUUUGCCUGGUGGUGAACAGCUGUGAACACACACUUGAAGUCUUUGAGGAGUUCCCUGGA